UACAUACAAGUAUGAAAAAUGUGAAAGAAUAUAUAAACACUCGUGAUUUAUCAUUAUUCCUCCACGAAUAGAUCAUUGUUACACUUAUAUUAUCGUUUAGAUUUUUUAAAUCCUUCAAACCCUCAUAAAUAAUGUUUUUUAUUUGAGGGCAAAAUUAAUAAUAAUUAUUGUAGAAGUGUAAAAAAUGUAAAAAUAUAUAUAUAAAAUCACUCAUAUAUAAAAAAAUGUAAAUGCUUUAAAUUAAAGAUCAAAUUUAUUCAUUACAUUCUUAUAGGGUCGAGGAGUGUAUCUGUAAAAAAUCAUCAAAAUCAGAGAUAAAAUAACCAUUAAAUUAUGAUUUUUCGUUUAUAACCGCUGAAAACUUUUGUUCCAUUACGUAAUCUCUGAAUGUUUGUUUUUUACGAUUUUUUACAUAUUCGAUCUCGGAAUGUGUACAAAUAAGUUUGACGGUUGGAUCGUUAAAAAAAGUUUCAUAGAAUGCAUAUUGCGUCAAAACGGUAGAUUAAGCAAACACUUAGAGUUAAUAUUAUACUUCUAUUAAGUAUAAAAUAGGUUUUUGUGGUAUCCACUAGUGUAAAUACUUUAAAUUAAAGAUCAAAUUUAUUCAUUACAUUCUUAUAGGGUCGAGGAGUAUAUCUGUAAAAAAUCAUCAAAAUCGGAGCUAAAAUAACCGUUAAAUUGUGAUUUUUCGUUUAUAACCGUCGAAACCUUUUGUUCCGUUACUUAAUCUCUGAAUGUUUGUUUUUUAUGAUUUUUUACGUAUUCGAUCUCGGAAUGUGUACAAAUAAGUUUGACGGUUGGAUCGUUGAAAAAAGUUUUGUAGAAUGCAUAUUGCGUCAAAACAGUACAUUAAACAAACACUUAGAGUUAAUAUUAUACUUCUAUUAAGUAUAAAAUAAGUUUUUGUGGUAUCCACUAGUGUAAAUACUUUAAAUUAAAGAUCAAAUUUAUUCAUUACAUUCUUAUAGGGUCGAGGAGUGUAUCUGUAAAAAAUCAUCAAAAUCAGAGAUAAAAUAACCGUUAAAUUGUGAUUUUUCAUUUAUAACCGUCGAAAACUUUCGUUCCAUUACGUAAUCUCUGAAUGUUUGUUUUUUACGAUUUUUUACGUAUGCGAUCUUGGAACGUGUACAAAUAAUUUUGACGGUUGGAUCGUUGAAAAAAGCUUCGUAGAAUGCAUAUUGCAUCAAAAUGGUAGAUUAAACAAACAUUUAGAGUUAAUAUUAUACUUCUAUUAAGUAUAAAAUAAGUUUUUGUGGUAUCCACUAGUGUAAAUACUUUAAAUUAAAGAUCAAAUUUAUUCAUUACAUUCUUAUAGGGUCGAGGAGUGUAUCUGUAAAAAAUCAUCAAAAUCAGAGAUAAAAUAACCGUUAAAUUGUGAUUUUUCGUUUAUAACCGCCGAAAACUUUUGUUCCAUUACGUAAUCUCUGAAUGUUUGUUUUUUACGAUUUUUUACGUAUGCGAUCUCGGAAUGUGUACAACUAAGUUUGACGGUUGGAUCGUUGAAAAAAGUUUCAUAGAAUGCAUAUUGCGUCAAAAUGGUAGAUUAAGCAAACACUUAGAGUUAAUAUUAUACUUCUAUUAAGUAUAAAAUAAGUUUUUUGUGGUAUCCACUAGUGUAAAUACUUUAAAUUAAAGAUCAAAUUUAUUCAUUACAUUCUCAUAUGAUCGAGGAGUGUAUCUGUAAAAAAUCAUCAAAAGCAGAGCUAAAAUAACCGUUAAAUUGUGAUUUUUCGUUUAUAACCGUCGAAAACUUUUGUUCCAUUACGUAAUCUCUGAAUGUUUGUUUUUUAUGAUUUUUUACGUAUGCGAUCUUGGAAUGUGUACAAAUAAGUUUGACGGUUGGAUCGUUGAAAAAAGUUUUGUAGAAUGCAUAUUGCGUCAAAACAGUACAUUAAACAAACACUUAGAGUUAAUAUUAUACUUCUAUUAAGUAUAAAAUAAGUUUUUGUGGUAUCCACUAGUGUAAAUACUUUAAAUUAAAGAUCAAAUUUAUUCAUUACAUUCUUAUAGGGUCGAGGAGUGUUUUUGUAAAAAAUCAUCAAAAUCGGAGCUCAAAUUACCAUUAAAUUGUGAUUUUUCGUUUAUAACCGUUGAAAACUUUUGUUCCGUUAUGUAAUCUCUGAAUGUUUGUUUUUUACGAUUUUUUACGUAUGCGAUCUUGAAAUGUGUACAAAUAAUUUUGACAGUUGGAUCGUUGAAAAAAGUUUCGUAGAAUGCAUAUUGCGUCAAAACGGUAGAUUAAACAAACACUUAGAGUUAAUAUUAUACUUCUAUUAAGUAUAAAAUAAGUUUUUGUGGUAUCCACUAGUGUAAAUACUUUAAAUUAAAGAUCAAAUUUAUUCAUUACAUUCUUAUAGGGUCGAGGAGUGUAUUUGUAAAAAAUCAUCAAGAUCGGAGCUAAAAUAACCGUUAAAUUGUGAUUUUUCGUUUAUAACCGUCGAAAACUUUUGUUCCAUUACGUAAUCUCUGAAUGUUUUUUUUUUAAAGAUUUUUACGUAUGCAAUCUUGGAAUGUGUACAAAUAAGUUUGACGGUUGGAUCGUUGAAAAAAGUUUUUGGACCGCCAGCAAUAGAUAAUUUUGUAGUAGUGAAACCUUAAAUUUAUUUAACCGUUAAUUGUUAUUUACACUUUAUUCUUCUGACUGAAUUUCAUUUUUUAAAAUUUUUAUUUUUUUUUGAAAACAUGAUCAUCUGGUCGAUGUAAGAAGAUGAUAUCACGUUUCGAUAUUUACGAUUAACUGAAAUAUGAGUCAAUGUCAUAUAAUUUGUAGAAACUUUAUAAACAUCAAGCAAUAUUUUCACUAAACGUAGAACUCUAAAUAUAAUAUCAACGAUCCAACGAUCCAAACCGUUCAUCUACCUGAACCCUCUAAUAGAUCAUGUUUUCAAAAAAGAAAAUCUAAAAAAAAGAAAUUUGAUUAGAACAAUGAAGCAUAAAUGUAAACAACAAUCAACGGUUAAAUUUUGAUCUAUGAUUUAUAUGAUUAUAGUGGCGAAUUUCGAAGUUAAGCUCUUCAUGAAAGUUAUAAAGCUUGUCAUUACGAGUGUUUAUAUAUUUUUUUUCUAUAUUUUUUUACACUUCUACAUUAAUUAAAAACUAUUAAAGACUUUAGGUAAGCGAAAAUAUAUUUAAAACAAAAUUGCGUUUUUAUGUUUUGGAUGUGAUAAUAUGAAAUGUAUAUACUUAUUUA
rnacentral:lncRNA from 1 species